rnacentral:rRNA from 1 species
AUGAACGCUGGCGGCGUGCCUAAUCCAAGCCCGUCGAGCGAACAGAUGAGGAGCUUGCUCCUCUGACGUUAGCGGCGGACGGGUGAGUAACACGUGGAUAACCUACCUAUAAGACUGGGAUAACUUCGGGAAACCGGAGCUAAUACCGGAUAAUAUAUUGAACCGCAUGGUUCAAUAGUGAAAGACGGUUUUGCUGUCACUUAUAGAUGGAUCCGCGCCGCAUUAGCUAGUUGGUAAGGUAACGGCUUACCAAGGCAACGAUGCGUAGCCGACCUGAGAGGGUGAUCGGCCACACUGGAACUGAGACACGGUCCAGACUCCUACGGGAGGCAGCAGUAGGGAAUCUUCCGCAAUGGGCGAAAGCCUGACGGAGCAACGCCGCGUGAGUGAUGAAGGUCUUCGGAUCGUAAAACUCUGUUAUUAGGGAAGAACAAAUGUGUAAGUAACUAUGCACGUCUUGACGGUACCUAAUCAGAAAGCCACGGCUAACUACGUG